GGGGGGGGGGGGGGGGGGGGGGGGGGGGGGGGGGGCGGGGGGGGGGGGGCGGGGCUUGCUGCUCGGACGUUGGCGGCGGGCGGGGGAGUAGCGCGUGGCUGACCGACCUCGCAGGCUGGGAUAACGUCGGGACACCGGAGCUAAUCCCGGCUCCGCUAUUGAACCCCAUGUUUCAAUAGUUGAAUCCGGUUUUGCUUUUACUUCUCGCUGUCUCCGCUCCGCAUUAGCUAGGUGGUAAGGUACCGGCUUACCAAGGCACCGAUGCGUAGCCGACCUGAGAGGGUGAUCGGCCAAACUGGAACUGAGACACGGGCCAGACUCCUACGGGAGGCAGCAGUAGGGAAUCUUCCGCAAUGGGGGAAAGCCUGACGUAGCAACGCCGCGUGAGUGAUGAAGGUCUUCGGAUCGUAAAACUCUGUUAUUAGGGAAGAACAAAUGUGUAAGUAACUAUGCACGUCUUGACGGUACCUAAUCAGAAAGCCACGGCUAACUACGUG
rnacentral:rRNA from 1 species